CGGUUGCAUUCUUGUCGAAAUCGAACUAGGUGUGUAACGAGAAAUCCGAAAUACAACAAACGGCGAAAGCCGAAAUUAGGGACUAUCGAUGCCACAUAGCCGUAUUCCAGACCGUAUAAGAAAAUAAAAUAAACAACAAAAUAAUAUACAUGGUUCGGGAAUAAUCCCUACAUCCACAACCAAAAUAAAAAAUGAACUCACUAUAAAAAAAACUCGAGAUUACAAUAUACAAAGCUCACGUUAUAGAAAAACCGAUUAACUAAUGGUACUACAAAAUUAAACCCCAAAGCCAAGAAAGAAGUUUACAAACAUCAUCACUUCAGCUCUAUGAAAAUACUAAAACAUCACCCACCCUUUUACUAGCCUAAGGGACACUCAAUGACCAAUUCCAUCCAUUGAAGUGUGGUAAUUUUGCAAAGGGACACUCAAUCACAAUAUGCCAAUAACAUCUCAUCAACAUUUAUACUUUGUAGAUUGAAUGAAUUUAGGAUUGGCAUAGCAAUGUCACUAGGAUGGUAUCUACAAUCCUGAAUACAAGGACGGUAUAAAGAAAGGAAGCUUAGUGGAAUAAUUGGAACAUGCGGAUGAAAAAAGCAUUUAAGUUGGUGAAUAAAUGUUGCAUAAUAGAAUCAACUAACCUCUUUAUAAAAAUCAAAUAAGCUAAAGUAGCUCAGUCGAAUGCUAUCUCACCGAUUUACCUUUCUUCACCUGCAAAGAUAAUAUUGAUUGCUAUUAUCAUCUUGUUCCUCAGGAACAAUCACAUAUUAUCGAACUAAACAGUCAUCAAAUUGGUCAAGGUUUAAAUAUUCACACCUGUGGUUAGAGUGUUAGCCUGUGCGGUCUUGUAUCUCCCUAUGUUAUUUCCAGGAAAUGUUAGUCUGUGCGGUCCUCGACGAAGCAAUGGCUACCAAAUAACUCUCAUGUAUUUAACGAUGUCUAACAAAGGGUACUCUGCAGAUCCAAUCAAACACUUUAUUAAUGCAAAAUGAGAAAGAAAGAUGAGACAGGAAUCAUGCAAAAUGAUGGAAAUAAGUUGAGUUUUGCAUGCUUAUAUCAUUUGGUUUAAAUAUAAGUUUUGGAAACAAGAAUCUGCCAUCCAAGAUGAGAAUUUUGCACCACCUCAAUUCUUAAUGAUGAGUUGCUCAAGCUUUUUCUAAGGAUGAAGAAAGUCUAGCACCCGCUCUUCGACUUCUUUUUUCCUUGUUUAUUCUUCAACUCUCUACCCCAUGUCUUAGUUUUCUUGAAAAGCUCUUUUGAAAUCAACACUACGUCGUCAAUUUAGCUUUCAUCACCUGUAAAAAUAUAUAUAUCAGAAAGAUCAGAUAGGAAUACUGCAAAAUGAUGGAAAUAAGUAAAGUUUCACAUGCUUAUAUCAUAUGGUUUAAACUAUACCAAAUUCAUCACAUCUAAGAAUCCAAAAUAUUCUCCAAAAUGACAAAUUCUCUUCAAUGGCAUCAGUAUGUGUUGAAAAGUCAACAAAGGUAGGAAGCAACUUGUUAAAAAGGUGAAGCAAGUUGCACCGAAUGUUGAAAAGUUGAAUGAGAUAAUUGCAAUUUUGGUCCCUAAUUUUUUAGGCCAUUUGCAAGUUAGUCCCUGAACUUCAACUUUAAAUAGGCCUUUUCAUUUUUCAUUUCAACCAUCCCAACCAAUCUUUCUCUCUUAGUUUUCUCUCUUCUCCCAUUUGAGAAUUCUUAAGGAAUUCUAUUUGUUUGUAAUAUUUUGAAGAUAGUAAAGUUAUCAUCUGGUGUUAGUGCCCGAGGACGUAGGUAUAAUUUACCGAACCUCGUUAAAACUCUGGUGUUCUUUCUUGUCCUAUUUUUCUUUCAAUAUUUGAGGGUAUAAUAGUAGUAUUUAAUUGUGCUAUUAAAUUACUAUAGAAGGGAUAUUCUAACUAAGGAAAGACUUGGUAUUUAAGAGAUCCAUGUGAUCCACCUCUCUUUCCUGGGAAUUAAACUUUGUGUGAUUUUUUAGUACAAUAAUUUACACACUUCCGACCCUAUUGGAACAACAAGUGGUAUCAGAGCCGAAGGUUAAUCGUAGUAUGCUCUGUGGUUGCAGUUUAAACUGAUCUUCUACAUCAGAAAAGAUUUCCUUAGGUAUAUUGAAAGAUUAUGGAGAAAACGGUCAGUGUAGGAGUUUCAACAUCGUCCAUGUGGACAAGACCGACAAUUGCAAAUGCAAGAUUAGCCGUGGAGAUCUUUGAUGGCACGGGCCAUUUUGGUAUGUGGCAAAGUGAGGUUCUAGAUGCCCUUUUUCAGCAGGGUCUAGACAUUGCCAUUGAUGAAGAGAAACCAGAUGAUGUACAGGAGAAAGAUUGGAAGGCGAUCAAUCGGUUGGCAUGUGGCACAAUUCGAUCAUGCCUUUCUCGAGAGCAGAGGUAUGCUUUUUCAAAGGAGACUUCUGCAAAUAAGUUGUGGGUGGCACUUGAAGAAAAAAUUUUAAAGAAAAACAGUCAAAAUAAGCUCCACUUGAAGAAAAGACUGUUUCGCUUCACAUACGUCCCAAGUACCACAAUGAAUGAUCACAUCACCAAAUUUAAUCAGUUAGUCAUUGAUUUGCUGAAUAUGGAUGAGACAUUCAAAGAUGAAGAUUUGGCUUUGAUGCUGUUGGGGUCACUUCCUGAGGAGUUUGAGUUCCUAGAAACUACUCUACUUCAUGGCAGGAGUGAUAUAUCUCUGAGCGAAGUCUGUGCGGCCUUAUACAGUUAUGAACAGAGAAAGAAUGACAAACAGAAAAACUCAAUCAGAGAUACAGAAGCUUUAGUAGUCCGAGGUCGUUCAUACACUCGGAAGAAAACUCAAAAGGGGAGAUCAAAGUCAAAGUCUAGGCUCGGGAAAGAUGAAUGUGCCUUUUGUCAUGAGAAAGGCCACUGGAAGAAAAAUUGUCCAAAGCUGAAGAAUAAGGGAAAAGCUGCUGUAGAUGCUUGUGUUGUAAAGCAUGAUACCAGUGACUCUGAACUAUCACUGGUUGCAUCAUCAUCGUCGUUCCAUUCAGAUGAGUGGAUAUUGGAUUCGGGUUGUACCUAUCAUAUGUCCCCUAACCGGGAGUGGUUCUCUGAUUUAGUUGAGCUAAAUGGAGGAGUUGUUUAUAUGGGCAAUGAUAAUGCCUGUAAAACUGUUGGGAUAGGUUCAAUCCAAUUAAAGAAUCAAGAUGGAUCAACCAGAGUUCUAACUGAUGUUCGGUACGUGCCCAGUUUGAAGAAAAAUCUCAUCUCAUUGGGAGCCUUGGAAUCCAAUGGUUCAGUUGUUACUAUGAGAGAUGGGGUUUUGGAAGUGACAUCUGACGCACUUGUGAUAUUGAAGGGCAUCAGGAAAAAUAACUUGUAUUACUACCAAGGUAGUACAGUUAUUGGAGCAGUCGCUGCAGCUUCCGGCAACAAAGAAUUGGACUCAAUGCAGUUGUGGCAUAUGAAGUUGGGACAUGCCAGCGAAAAAUCCUUGCAAAUUCUGGCAAAGCAAGGAUUGUUGAAAGGUGCAAAGGCUUGCAAAUUAAAAUUUUGCGAGCAUUGUGUUCUGGGAAAGCAAAAGAGAGUAAAAUUCGGCACUGCUAUCCAUAAUACAAAAGGUAUUUUGGAAUAUGUUCACUCAGAUGUGUGGGGGCCUUCCAAGACACCUUCAUUGGGAGGAAAACACUACUUUGUUACUUUUGUUGAUGAUUUUUCCAGAAGAGUUUGGGUGUAUACCAUGAGAACUAAGGAUGAAGUGCUUAGAGUUUUUCUUAAAUGGAAAACUAUGAUCGAAAACCAGACUGGCAAGAAAAUCAAGUGGCUUAGGACCGACAAUGGAGGGGAAUAUAAAAGUGAUCCGUUCUUCGAUGUGUGCCAAGAGUAUGGUAUUGUUCGACACUUCACAGUUAGGGAUACACCACAGCAGAAUGGAGUGGCAGAGCGUAUGAAUCGAACAUUGCUGGAGAAAGUUCGAUAUAUGUUGUCCAAUGCUGGGUUGGGCAAGUAAUUUUGGGCUGAGGCUGUGACAUACGCUGGCCAUCUUGUUAAUCGUUUGCCAUCAUCUGCAUUAGAAAAAAAAACUCCUAUGGAGGUAUGGUCUAGAAAACCAGCUACAGAUUAUGAUUCCUUACAUGUGUUUGGAUCCACUGCAUAUUACCAUGUGAAGGAGUCAAAGUUAGAUCCGAGAGGGCAAAGAAAACUCUCUUUAUGGGAAUCACUUCUGGAGUGAAGGGAUUUCGUCUUUGGUGCUUAGACACAAAGAAAAUGAUCUGUAGCAGAGAUGUUACCUUUGAUGAAUCUGCCACAUUGAAAAAGGUAGCAGAUAAAGAUAUUCAGACGAGCGAUACUCCACAGCAGGUGGAGUGUACUCCAAAACAGGUGGAGUUUGAGAAGAUGGGGAUUUGCCCAGUUAAUAAGUCUAAUUCUCCAGCCACAACGGAGGAAUUAGAGGUUGAAGAGGUUCUGACCCAAGAACCACUAAGUACACUAGAACCAGUUGCAGUUGCAAGGCCACGGAGAGAAAUUCGUAAACCUGCUCGAUUUACUGAUAUGGUGGCCUACGCCCUUCCCAUUAAUGAUGAUGAUAUUCCUGUCACUUAUCAAGAAGCAAUGCAAAGCUUAGAAAGUGACAAAUGGAAAUGCACCAUGGAUGAAGAAAUGCAGUCUCUCCGGAAGAACAAUACUUGGGAGUUGGCGCAAUUACCGAAAGGUAAAAGGGCAAUCGGAUGCAAGUGGGUAUUCGCAAAGAAAGAUGGAUCUCCUAGCAAGAAAGAUAUUCGCUACAAGGCAAGAUUGGUAGCUAAAGGCUACGCUCAGAAUAAGGGAAUUGACUACAAUGAUGUAUUUUUCCCUGUUGUAAAGCAUUCCUCCAUCAGAAUUUUGUUGGCCUUGGUAGCACAGUUGAAUUUGGAGCUAGCUCAACUUGAUGUUAAGACGGCUUUCUUGCAUGGUGAGUUAGAAGAGGAGAUCUAUAUGACUCAGCCCGAAGGAUACAAAGAUGCUGGUGGUAGAAAUUGGGUUUGUAAGCUGAACAAAUCACUAUAUGGAUUGAAGCAAUCCCCGAGGUAGUGGUACAAGUGAUUUGAUAGCUUUAUGAGAAGGCAGAAGUACACUAGAAGCAAAUAUGACAAUUGUGUGUAUUUGCAGAAGCUGCAUGACGGAUCUUUCAUUUAUCUACUCUUGUAUGUUGAUGAUAUGUUAAUCGCUUCGAAGAGCCAAAAAGAGAUAGAUAAGCUGAAGGCUCAGUUGAAUCAAGAGUUCGAGAUGAAAGAUCUAGGUGAAGCCAAAAAGAUUCUCGGUAUGGAGAUAAGUAGAGAUAGACAGAGAGGCAAGCUUUGUUUGAAUCAGAAGCAAUAUCUAAAAAAGGUAUUACAAUGUUUUGGUGUAAAUGAAAACACAAAACAUGUAAGUACCCCACUUGCUUCUCAUUUGAAACUUACUGCUCAAUUAUCUCCGAAAACUGAAGAAGAAAGAGAAUAUAUGGCAAAAGUCCCAUAUGCAAAUGUAGUUGGGAGUUUGAUGUAUGUGAUGGUGUGUACGCGACCUGACAUUUCACAAGCUGUUGGAGUUGUGAGCAGGUAUAUGCAUGAUCCUGGAAAAGGAUAUUGGCAAGCUGUGAAAUGGAUUCUACGGUAUCUUCGAAAAACCGUAGAUAUUGGUUUAAUUUUUGAACAGGAUGAAGCACUUGGUCAGUUUGUAGUUGGAUAUGUUGAUUCCGACUUUGUUGGUGAUUUAGAUAAACGUCGUUCAACUACGGGGUAUCUGUUUACCCUUGCGAAAGCCCUAGUGAGUUGGAAGUCUACCUUACAGUCUACAAUAGCUGUGUCUACUACAGAGGCAGAAUAUAUGGCAGUUACAGAAGCUGUUAAGGAGGCUAUUUGGCUUAAUGGAUUGUUGAAAGACUUAGGAGUUUUUCAAAGUCACAUUAGUCUAUAUUGUGACAGUCAGAGUGCUAUUCAUUUAGGAAAAAAUCAAGUCUAUCAUUCAAGAACCAAGCAUAUCGACGUAAGAUAUCACUUUGUGCGGGAAGUCUUUGAAAAAGGAAAAUUUCUAAUUUAGAAGAUUCCGACAGCAGAUAAUCCCGCAGAUAUGAUGACCAAAGUGGUAACAACAAUCAAGUUUAAUCAUUGUUUGAACUUGAUUAACAUCCUGAGAAUUUGAGCACCUUCAGGUGUAUGGCGCUCGAGAGCACAUUUGGAGGCACUACAAAAGAUAACUUUAUCGAAUUUGGGGAGUUGAAGGAAGUGUGUGAAGAUGUGAUUAUCCUAAUCAAAUCUUCAAGGUGGAGAUUGUUGAAAAGUCAACAAAGGUAGGAAGCAACUUGUUAAAAAGGUGAAGCAAGUUGCACUGAAUGUUGAAAAGUUGAAUGAGAUAAUUGUAAUUUUGGUCCCUAAUUUUUUAGGCCAUUUGCAAGUUAGUCCCUGCACUUCAACUAUAAAUAGGCCUUUUCAUUUUUCAUUUCAACCAUCCCAACCAAUCUUUCUCUCUUAGUUUUCUCUCUUCUCCCAUUUGAGAAUUCUUAAGGAAUUCUAUUUGUUUGUAAUAUUUUGAAGAUAGUAAAGUUAUCAUCUGGUGUUAGUGCCCGAGGACGUAGAUAUAAUUUAUCGAACCUCGUUAAAACUCUUGUGUUCUUUCUUGUCCUAUUUUUCUUUCAAUAUUUGAGGGUAUAAUAGUAGUAUUUAAUUGUGCUAUUAAAUUACUAUAGAAGGGAUAUUCUGACUAAGGAAAGACUUGGUAUUUAAGAGAUCCAUGUGAUCCACCUCUCUUCCCUAGAAAUUGAACUUUGUGUGAUUUUUUAGUACAAUAAUUUACACGCUUCCGACCCUAUUCGAACAACAGUAUGGUUAUAUAUAAAUACCGAAGAGAAGUGAUAUCUUUUUACUUUUCCUUCAAAGGAUCUUUCUAAAAGCCCACUUCCACGCCAACUUAGCUU
rnacentral:lncRNA from 1 species